UGGCAGGUAUGUGAGUAUUUCAUGGAUUUUAGUCCUCAUUCUUUCCCCUUUGCUCUGCAGUUUUGGCUGAUCUGUCCAUGAAACACUGAAGUCUAAAGUUAGAGGCAAGUGGAUGAAAUACCUGAAGACCUCCUCCUCCUUGCAUGGGAAAUCAGAAGUUUGAAAUGUCUGAACUCACACCCUGUACGUGAGGCAUGUGGGAGUACAGCAAUUGAUGACCUAAAUGAGAACAUGGAUGGUGAUUCCAGCACUUGCCCGGGCAGCUUGUUCCAAUGCCUGACAACUCUUUCAGUGAAGACAUUUUUCCCCAACAUUCCGUCUAAACCUUCCCUGCUGCAACUUGAAGCAGUUUCCUCUUCUCCUAUCACGUGUUACUUGGGAGAAGUCAUCAACGCCCACCUUGUGACAACCUCUCUAGACUGAUAAGAUCCUCCUGAUCCUCCUUUUCUCCAGGCUGAUCAUUCCCAUUCCCCUCAGCUGCUCCUCAGAAGACUUGUGUUCCAGACCCUUCUCCAGCUUUGUUGCCCUUCUCUGGACUCACUCCAGCACCUCAAUGUUUUUCUUGCAGUGAGGGGCCCAGGACUGAACUGAGGAUUCAAGGUGUGACCUCACCAGUGCUGAGUACAGAUCCUUUCCCUACUCCUGCAGGCCACACUAUUUCUGAUGGCCAGGAUGCCAUUGGCCUUCUCGGCCACCUGGGCACUGCUGGCUCAUGUUCAGCUGCUGUCAACCAGCACCCCCAGGUGCUUUUCUACCCGACAGUUUUUCAGCCACUUUCCCCCCAGUUUGUAGCAUUACAUGGGGUUUUUGUCACCCAAGGGCUGGGCCUGGCACUUCACCUUGAACCUCAUGCAAUUGGCUUUGUCCCAUCAAUCCAGCCUGUCCAGAUUCCUCUGCAGAGCCUUCCUACCCUCUAGGAGGUCAAUGCUCCCACCCAGCCUGUCAUCUGUGGACUGACUGAGGGUACUCAGUCCCCUCAUCCAGAUCAUUGAUAAAGAUAUUAAACAGGAUUGGCCCCAACACUGAGCCUUGGGGAACACCCCCUCUGAACAGCCCCACCUAGAUUUAACUUCAGUCACAACCAUCUCUGGGCCCAGCCAUCCAGCAAAGCUUCUACUGAGCAAAGAGUGCACACUCCCAAGCCGUGAGCAGCCAGUUUGUUCAGGCAAUGCUGAGGAAAAUGCUGUCAAAAACUUUAUUAAAGUCCAGGCAGACAACGUGCACAGCUCUUCCCUCAUCCACUAAGUGGGUCACCUGGUCACAGAGGCAGAUCAGGUUG